AGCGAACGCUGGCGGCAGGCCUAACACAUGCCAGUCGAACGAACUCUUCGGAGUUAGUGGCGGACGGGUGAGUAACACGUGGGAACGUGCCUUUAGGUUCGGAAUAACUCAGGGAAACUUGAGCUAAUACCGGAUGUGCCCUUCGGGGGAAAGAUUUAUCGCCUUUAGAGCGGCCCGCGUCUGAUUAGCUAGUUGGUGAGGUAAAGGCUCACCAAGGCGACGAUCAGUAGCUGGUCUGAGAGGAUGAUCAGCCACAUUGGGACUGAGACACGGCCCAAACUCCUACGGGAGGCAGCAGUGGGGAAUCAUGCGCAAUGGGCGAAAGCCUGACGCAGCCAUGCCGCGUGAAUGAUGAAGGUCUUAGGAUUGUAAAAUUCUUUCACCGGGGACGAUAAUGACGGUACCCGGAGAAGAAGCCCCGGCUAACUUCGUG
rnacentral:rRNA from 1 species